rnacentral:rRNA from 1 species
AUGAACGCUGGCGGCGUGCCUAAUCCAUGCAAGUCGAGCGAACAGACGAGGAGCUUGCUCCUCUGACGUUAGCGGCGGACGGGUGAGUAACACGUGGAUAACCUACCUAUAAGACUGGGAUAACUUCGGGAAACCGGAGCUAAUACCGGAUAAUAUAUUGAACCGCAUGGUUCCAUAGUGAAAGACGGUUUUGCUGUCACUUAUAGAUGGAUCCGCGCCGCAUUAGCUAGUUGGUAAGGUAACGGCUUACCAAGGCAACGAUGCGUAGCCGACCUGAGAGGGUGAUCGGCCACACUGGAACUGAGACACGGUCCAGACUCCUACGGGAGGCAGCAGUAGGGAAUCUUCCGCAAUGGGCGAAAGCCUGACGGAGCAACGCCGCGUGAGUGAUGAAGGUCUUCGGAUCGUAAAACUCUGUUAUUAGAGAAGAACAAAUGUGUAAGUAACUAUGCACGUCUUGACGGUACCUAAUCAGAAAGCCACGGCUAACUACGUG